rnacentral:rRNA from 1 species
GCGAUGCAUUAGCUAGUUGGGUAAGGGUAACGGGCUUACCAAGGCGAUGAUGCAUAGCCCGAGUUGAGAGACUGAUCGGGCCACAUUGGGACUGAGACACGGCCCAAACUCCUACGGGAGGCAGCAGUAGGGGAAUCUUCCACAAUGGACGAAAAGUCUGAUGGAGCAAAACGCCGCGUGAGUGAAGAAGGUUUUCGGAUCGUAAAAGCUCUGUUGUUGGUGAAGAAGGAUAGAGGUAGUAACUGGCCUUUAUUUGACGGUAAUCAACCAGAAAGUCACGGGCUAACUACGUACCCAGCAGCCGCGGUAAAU